rnacentral:rRNA from 1 species
UACGUAGGGAGCAAGCGUUGUCCGGAAUCAUUGGGCGUAAAGCGCGCGUAGGCGGCCUCGUAAGUCCGUUGUGAAAGUCAAAGGCUCAACCUUUGAAAGCCGAUGGAUACUGUGAGGCUAGAGUCCGGAAGAGGCGAGUGGAAUUCCUGGUGUAGCGGUGGAAUGCGCAGAUAUCAGGAGGAACACCAAUAGCGAAGGCAGCUCGCUGGGACGGUACUGACGCUAAGGCGCGAAGGCGUGGGGAGCGAACAGG